UUAUCUUGGUCUGAGAGCCACGGGAACUUUCUGGAAACUUCUGCACCUAUUUAUAAGCAGGUGAAGACUGGCUUGUGUAGUUUUCAGGUCUUUGUGGCUUUCAGGUCUUCAGGUAUUUCUUUUGAUGUUCAUUUCUGAGCAUUUUGACGAUUUUGUGUUUAACAGUAUUAUUUAGAAUUAAAAACAUGAUUGGUGUUAAAAAUAUAUAAUGAAGAAUUGUUGUUUCAUGGCGAGUAAUAUAGACGCAAUUUUACAUUAGCAAUACUAAUAACCGUUUUUUUUUGUUUGUUUUUUUAAGUAUAGAUUAACAAUUUUAUUGAAAUCAAUUCAUUCAUUAAUCCAAUUAACUUCUGGUUUAAAACGAAAAGUGAAAGAAAAGCGUGGCGGAAUCCUAAAUCGCUUCACAUCUGAUACUUAGUGCACUAGAUAUGGUGUGAAGCCCAUUAUUUCACGAGGCUUGAAGUGUACCUAGUUAGGGAACAGUUAUCCAUUUGUUAUUUAGCCCGCUACGAUGUUCUUGGAGCUAUUUUAGAAAUCGAUACUGAACUUUUUUUUUAUUAUACUAUAGAUGGGUUUAAAAUAAACCCAAAUGCUUUUUUAAAAAAGGAAAUAACGUUUACCAUUAACGUUAAAUGUAUUUUUAGUUAUCUAGAUUAAUUAGCAUUAGCAUUGUUAACGCUAGCUGGUUUAGCCGGGUGCUUAGGGUUAACAGGUAGAGUGUACGCAUAUGCUAGUAGUUAGCAUGUUUAGCUAGUGGCCUUGUAUGAACGGAUUGGAAAAGAAAUUAAAAUGGCGACGGGGAUUCAUGUAAGGAGAAAUACCAAGAGAAAUAUAUGAGAACUUCUCAACAACUACUGUAUAAGGGAGCUAGCCGUGAAGCUGCGUGGUUGCAAAAUCCAAUGAUGAGGCAAAUAAAAAACUUCUCCACAAUGAAGCCUGAGGUGAUGAAGACGCUGAUAGAGAUGAAGAUGGUGGACGGACACUUUGUUUUCAUCACUGUAAAUUUGUCUGUUUAUUUUUUUUCUCUCCACUAAUCUAUCCUUAAAUAAAUCAGUUUUAUUUCCAUAUUUAUUUUCCUUAAUUAUUUAUUAUUUUAUUUAUUUACUUACAUUCCCUGUGAGUGUUCUAGUGAUUUUGUAUUUGUCCACAACACACACACAC